CACCAGACUCCUACGGGAGGCAGCAGUGGGGGAUAUUGCACAAUGGGGGAAACCCUGAUGCAGCGACGCCGCGUGGGCGAAGAAGUAUUUCGGUAUGUAAAGCCCUAUCAGCAGGGAAGAAGAAAUGACGGUACCUGAGUAAGAAGCACCGGCUAAAUACGUGCCAGCAGCCGCGGUAAUACGUAUGGUGCAAGCGUUAUCCGGAUUUACUGGGUGUAAAGGGAGCGCAGGCGGCACGGCAAGCCUGAUGUGAAAGCCCGCGGCCCAACCGCGGGACUGCAUUGGGAACUACCGGGCUGGAGUGCGGGAGGGGCAGGCGGAAUUCCUGGUGUAGCGGUGAAAUGCGUAGAUAUUAGGAGGAACACCGGUGGCGAAGGCGGCCUGCUGGACUGCGACUGACGUUGAGGCCCGAAAGCGUGGGGAGCAAACAGGAUUAGAUACCCUGGUAU
rnacentral:rRNA from 1 species